AUUGCAUUUGCAAAAAAUUAAUGAUUUUGUAUUAUCACCUGGACCCCAACCAUACAAGGUGGCUGUCUAUGUUCCAGGAAGUAAAGAUAAAGUUACAAUGCUGUGGAAUAAAAAAGCUACUGCUGUGUUGGUAAUAGCUAGCACAGAUGUUGACAAGACAGGAGCUUCCUACUAUGGAGAACAAACUCUACACUACAUUGCAACAAAUGGAGAAAGUGCUGUAGUGCAAUUACCAAAAAAUGGCCCCAUUUAUGAUGUAGUUUGGAAUUCUAGUUCUACUGAGUUUUGUGCUGUAUAUGGUUUUAUGCCUGCCAAAGCGACAAUUUUCAACUUGAAAUGUGAUCCUGUAUUUGACUUUGGAACUGGUCCUCGUAAUGCAGCCUACUAUAGCCCUCAUGGACAUAUAUUAGUAUUAGCUGGAUUUGGAAAUCUGAGGGGACAAAUGGAAGUGUGGGAUGUGAAAAACUACAAACUUAUUUCUAAACCGGUGGCUUCUGAUUCUACAUAUUUUGCUUGGUGCCCGGAUGGUGAGCAUAUUUUAACAGCUACAUGUGCUCCCAGGUUACGGGUUAAUAAUGGAUACAAAAUUUGGCAUUAUACUGGCUCUAUCUUGCACAAGUAUGAUGUGCCAUCAAAUGCAGAAUUAUGGCAGGUUUCUUGGCAGCCAUUUUUGGAUGGAAUAUUUCCAGCAAAAACAAUAACUUACCAAGCAGUUCCAAGUGAAGUACCCAAUGAGGAACCUAAAGUUGCAACAGCUUAUAGACCCCCAGCUUUAAGAAAUAAACCAAUCACCAAUUCCAAAUUGCAUGAAGAGGAACCACCUCAGAAUAUGAAACCACAAUCAGGAAACGAUAAGCCAUUAUCAAAAACAGCUCUUAAAAAUCAAAGGAAGCAUGAAGCUAAGAAAGCUGCAAAGCAGGAAGCAAGAAGUGACAAGAGUCCAGAUUUGGCACCUACUCCUGCCCCACAGAGCACACCACGAAACACUGUCUCUCAGUCAAUUUCUGGGGACCCUGAGAUAGACAAAAAAAUCAAGAACCU
rnacentral:lncRNA from 1 species